rnacentral:rRNA from 1 species
GUAGGUGGCAAGCGUUGUCCGGAAUUAUUGGGCGUAAAGCGCGCGCAGGGCGGUCCUUUAAGUCUGAUGUGAAAGCCCACGGCUCAACCGUGGAGGGUCAUUGGAAACUGGGGGACUUGAGUACAGAAGAGGAAAGCGGAAUUCCAAGUGUAGCGGUGAAAUGCGUAGAGAUUUGGAGUAACACCAGUGGCGAAGGCGGCUUUCUGGUCUGUAACUGACGCUGAGGCGCGAAAGCGUGGGGAGCAAACAGGAUUAGAUACCCUGGUAGUCCACGCCGUAAACGAUGAGUGCUAAGUGUUAGGGGGGUUUCCGCCCCUUAGUGCUGCAGCUAACGCAUUAAGCACUCCGCCUGGGGAGUACGGCCGCAAGGCUG